AGCAAUAUAGACACAAAUAAGUGUUCUUAUCAACCUAUUGUAAAAAAUCCUAGUUUAGUGAAUAAAAGUCAGUUGUCUUUUUCUGCUCCUCUUUGUCUCAUGUAUGUGAUGUGAAUUUGUUGUGGCAUAAUAGACUUGGGCAUAUUCCUUUUGUGAAAAUGAGAGGCAUCCAAUCAAUACCUGAAACUUUUUCCAGUAAACAACCCUUUAUUUGUAACAUUUGCCCUAUAGAAAGACAGGAAAGACUACCAUUUUCUCACAAAACCAAUACCACAAUCAAAAGGUUCCAACUACUUCACAUUGACCUGUGGGGACCUUACCAUGUAGCCACACAUGACAAUUAUAAGUAUUUUAGCACUCUUGUUGAUGAUUACAGUAGGUGUACGUGGACUCAGUUGUUAACUUGCAAAAACAAUGCCUUAGUAGCCAUUAAAGCUUUUAUCUCCAUGAUUGAGAACCAAUUCAACACCACUGUUAAGUUUAUAAGAACAGAUAAUGGAUUGGAGUUCAUUAAUACAGAAACAUCAUCUUAUUUAAAACACAAAGGAAUAGUUCAUGAGAAGACUUGUCCCUACACACCAGAACAAAAUGGUGUGGUAGAAAGAAAACACAAAUACCUAUUGGAAACUGCCAGGGUACUUCUUUUUCAGUCUAAAAUGCCACCAAAAUACUGGGGAGAAUUUGUAUUAUGUGCCACAUACAUCAUUAACAGACUUUCCACCUCUCAUGUUAGAACAAAAAGCCCAUAUGAAUUGUUGUACAAAACCAAACCAUCCUGCUCUCAUGUGAGAACCUUUGGAUGUCUUUGUUACCCUACUAUCCCUAAAUGCCAUAGAGACAAGUUUCAGGCCAUAACAACUCCCCAUGUUUUCUUAGGGUAUCCUUUUAGUUCCAAAGGGUACAAAGUACUGAGUCUGACUACAAGAAGGAUUCAUGUUUCUAGGGAUGUCGUUUUCAAAGAAAAUAUUUUUCCUUUCACUCUCUCUUCUGAUAUGUCUUCUUUCCCUUCUACAUUUCAUCCUGCACCUUUCAUGCAUUUUGAUGACACUACAAUUGGACAUCAAACAUUAGUGAAUGCUAACAACAAUGUAGAUGAUGCAAGUGAUACACCAGCUGAUAUCCUGACUGCCCAACCACCUAAUUUACAUACCUUAACUUUUAUUCUUGUAGACCAUUAUAAACCAGUUGUACCACCUAGUACUGCACCUCCUAUUAAACCAACUAGAACUCAUAAACUCCCUGUAUACCUUUAUGAUUAUAUUCUACUUAAUACCAUCAGAAAAGCACCACCAAGUGACACAACUACUAGCCUCAAUGCCCUGUUUUCAAACCACCAACAUGUCUUAACUGAUGUUUUGAAUCAUGAGAGUCAGGAACUUGUGAGAAACAUUAGUAAUGACAGUGAGCCUUUAUUUUUUGAGGAGGCUAUUGUGAACCCUGAUUGGCAAUUGGCCAUGAAUCAAGAAUUUGAGGCACUUCAUGCAAAUCACACUUGGGAUUUAGUUACCCUGCCUCAUGGUAAGAGGGAAAUAGGGUGUAGAUGGGUGUACAAAGUAAAACAUAAGGCUGAUGGAACUAUUGAGAGAUUCAAAUAAAGGUUGGUUGUUAAGGGAUACACUCAAAAAUCUGGGAUUGAUUACACUGAAACCUUUUCCCCUGUUGUUAAGAUGACAACUGUAAGGGCAUUACUAUCCAGCUCAGUUAAUAAAGGAUGGGAUAUAUUCCAACUUGAUGUCAACAAUGGAUUUCUUCAUGGUGACUUACAUAAAGAAGUGUACAUGGAGAUACCUCCAGGCCUUAUGGUGGACAGCCCAGGGUUAGCAUGCAAACUAAACAAGUCACUCUAUGGCCUAAAGCAGGCUAGUCGACAAUGGUAUGUCAAGCUGACUGAAGCACUUUAUUCCAUAGGAUACACUCACUCAAUGAAUGAUUACUCUCUUUUUCACAAGAAGACUGCAAGAUCAGCUAUUUUUGUAGCAGUUUAUGUAGAUGAUAUAACUGUGACUGGGACUCAUAAUUCUGAGAUUGAAGAACUCAAACAAUUUCUUCAUGAGAAGUUCAGGAUUAAAGAUUUGGGCAAACUCCACUACUUCCUUGGAAUGGAGGUUCUAUAUAAGCAGGAUGGUCUGAUUAUUUCCCAAAGGAAGUUCUUGUUAGAUUUACUGAAGAGUUAUCAUGUCUCAAGUAUGCCAGUUGUUCUUCUCCACUUGAUCCUACACAAAAAUUACUUGCCAAGGAAGGAACACCUUUGUCAGAUCCUACUUAUUACAGAAAGCUCAUAGGAAAGCUCAAUUUUCUUACUAACACUAGGAUGGACAUAGCCUAUGGUGUACAACAUUUGAGUCAGUUUAUGAAAGACCCUAGGAAACCUCAUUCGAAAGAUGCAUUUCAUUUACUAAGGUAUCUCAAGUCUGAUCCAACACUAGGGAUCUUUAUGUCACAUGAUCCAAAUUAUACUGUCAAAGCAUAUUGCGAUUCUGACUGGGCUGCAUGCCCAGUUUCCCGAAGAUCAGUUAAUGAUUACAUUGUUUUGCUGGGUAAUAGUCCAGUGAGUUGGAAAUCUACGAAGCAAGAAACUGUAUCCCUAUCCUCAGCAGAAGCAGAGUAAAAAACCUUGAGGAAAGUCGCAGGAGAACUGGUUUGGCUAAGUCGACUACUUGAGGAACUUUCAGUACCAUUACCAUCUCCUAUUGAGGUGUAUUGUGAUAGCCAAUCAGCUCUUCAUAUUGCAAAGAACCCUGUGUUCCAUGAGAGGACUGAAUAUAUUGAAGUGGACUGCUAUUUUGUAAGAAAUCUCCUACAAGCUGGAUUAAUUUCACUCCACCACAUCUCCUCAGAUUUUUAACUAGCAGAUGUACUUACCAAAGCACUCACAGGAAUCAAACACUUUGCUGCGUUACACAAGUUUUUCUGUGUUUUCUACUCCUCCAUCUUAAGGGGGGGGGGGGGGGGGGUAGAAGUUUAUUAAGAUUAACUACUAGAUUAGAUAAUUAAUUACACUGCUGCUGUAUGUAAUUAGUUAGUUAGUAUUAGUUAGUUAUUAGCUUAGUGUGACAGCUCACUGCCAUCUGUAAAGUUGGUUACUAAAUACUUUGUAAUCUUUCUCUAUAAGUACUCAUAUGCUCACAAUGGAAGUGAGUUGAGCAAUUUUCCAGAAACUGAUUUCUUCCUCCUUUCUUUCUUCUCUCCUUCUUUGCUCAUAUGAGUUAAGCUUUAAGGUUCAACCUCCAGUAUAUGGAAUGAAGGAUUCUCUCACUAUUAUUAACACCUAGAAAUCUGGUUGAGCCAUCCUUUGGAUUGUAUUUUGUGAAGCGUGUUAGAAACCAAAGAAAAAUUUCACCUUCGUUUGACUGUAAAAUGGAUGGAUGAUAUUUGUAUUUUAAAGAAUCAUCAGGAGACUUGAUGGUAAACGUCUUUGUCCAAGAUUCUCUUAUCCCAUACUCCUUCAUAACCCAGAUAUCAACAUGAGUCCAUGUGUUAUAACAAAAAACACUAAGAUCACCCUCAAACACUCCUAGUUUCAUAAAUAUACAUCCUUUUAAAUAGCAAAACUGCUAUACUUCUAUCCAUUUCUCAUUAGUCAAAUCAAUAGAAAUAAUGUUCCAUUGCUUGUCAAGCCAAUGAAGUUUCCCCUUGACAAACUUAGCAGAAUAACUGAAUAGCUCUCUAUAUUGAAGGUCACCAAUACGACUCCAAGAAUCACUCUUUAGACUAUACAUCUUGACCUCAACGUCACUCAGGUGUCCCUGUCCCACGACGUAAAUAGAGAUAAUAAUUAGUACCUUGUAAUCAUCUUGGAACUAAUCAUAUGCAAAACAAAAAUUGGAAUGAGCAAAACCAACCUCAUGGUUACGCCUAGACCUAUAACUAGGGAGUUUCUUAUACUUUCUAAUUGAAGGAUUCCAUAUAAACAAGUCAUAUAAUCCGUGAAAUACUACAACGGAAAGUCAAAUCAAUCCAUUGAUAUAACCCACAAGCCGAGGAUGAGCACCGAAAAUUUUACGAUGAUAAUCCAAGUCAAGUGCCUCAGUUACAGAAUCGCAAAGUAAAGAGCUAACAGAACAUCCCCUGACAUCAGGGUUAGAAUAAUAAGCCUCACACAGAACUCUGUGGUGAGUGUAGUCCUUAUUAGUAGAAGAUAAUAAGAGAUGAGCCUUCACAAAUUGAGGGCUAGAGAUUAACGAAAGCCAAGAUUUGCAAACAAACCUGAAUUGCAAGAGGGAUUUCACAGGAAGCUUUAGAAGGUUUCAGUGAUGAGUUCUUCGGGAAGGAUAGGCAUAACGAAGACUGAAUCAUUAACAAGAUUUAUGGGUUUGUUCCAUUUUUGGUGUUGAAAAUGGGCUUGUCUCUUUCCAGGACAACUGGUUCGUAAUUGAAGCUCAGAGUUUGGGGGAAAUAGGGAUUUUAGUAUUUAUAGUCCCU
rnacentral:lncRNA from 1 species